rnacentral:rRNA from 1 species
GAUGAACGCUGGCGGCGUGCCUAAUACAUGCAAGUCGAGCGAACAGACGAGGAGCUUGCUCCUCUGACGUUAGCGGCGGACGGGUGAGUAACACGUGGAUAACCUACCUAUAAGACUGGGAUAACUUCGGGAAACCGGAGCUAAUCCCGGAUAAUAUAUUGAACCGCAUGGUUCAAUAGUGAAAGACGGUUUUGCUGGCACUUAUAGAUGGAUCCGCGCCGCAUUAGCUAGUUGGUAAGUUAACGGCUUACCAAGGCAACGAUGCGUAGCCGACCUGAGAGGGUGAUCGGCCACACUGGAACUGAGACACGGUCCAGACUCCUACGGGAGGCAGCAGUAGGGAAUCUUCCGCAAUGGGCGAAAGCCUGACGGAGCAACGCCGCGUGAGUGAUGAAGGUCUUCGGAUCGUAAAACUCUGUUAUUAGGGAAGAACAAAUGUGUAAGUAACUAUGCACGUCUUGACGGUACCUAAUCAGAAAGCCACGGCUAACUACGUG